rnacentral:sRNA from 1 species
UUAAACACUUGGUUUAGUCAUUGAAUUGUUGGAAUCGGCAAAUGGACCAAUAGAAAUGGAAAUAUUCUAAGUAUGACCUACGAAAAAGUUGGAUAACUAUUAGAUGUGUCACAUAUUCUUCUUCUAAAUAAACCUGUGAUACAAAGUUUCAAGAAACACUAAGCGGAUUAUACAAGAGGAGAGUAGGAAAAAGGAUCAACAUGUCCAAGGGAAGCGAAGUAGCAGCUUUAAGGCAAAGCCCGUAGAUAUUUGAUCGAAAGUAGUGCGCUGAUAGAGUAGUUAUAAGAAAAUAAUAUCGUGAAUUGCGAUCGGUAAACUUGCUGUAACAAAUUAUACAUUUGAGAAGAACUCAACGCUACGGUUUUGCCCAGUACUGCAUUUGUUAAGCUUAAUGAUGGCAAUAAACAGCACUUGUGUCUUGUGUGUAUUUUUCAAUUAAUUGUUUGUCACAAUUAAGGGCUACAGUAUCAACAACGGCACUUGACCCUUAGAAAGUGCCAUCAUUCUACACUUUGCACUGCUCCUCACGCCCGCCGUGUGCCUGACAAAUACUGUGUCAAUUCGGGAUUUGAAAACAUUCGAUAUGCUUUUAGAGGUAGACACUUUUGCAAAGGCUUUUGCCAGCAAGAGGGUGUUGACAAAUGCGUUUGUGGUGACAAAGUCCUUUACUCAUCAUUAUCACCCAAGCAGAAACUGUGGCAAAAAUAUGUAUCCCAGAGUCGUAUGGGCAAUAGCCAAAGGAAGUUUCAUCGCAAAAUACAUUUAAAAGCCAUUGUCCAAUGUUGGCAUCAAUCUUCUUCCAUGUUUCUUGUGUGCGCACACGUGCCUUGGCAUUUCAUGAGUUUCGUAAACAAUCGCAAGGAGUGUGGCUUCCCCAAAAUCAGACAAUGGCAUUGAGAACAAGUGAUUUUAAAACUUUGAAACGCCUCUGGAUUCCCAGGGAUUUGGAAAUAAAGUUUGUCAUGACACGUGGCCUUCAGUGGUUUAACACGCACGCAUUCACACACAGUACACCCAUUGAUACAGCACAGCUCUUAAUAUGUCUCUGUGUGGAGACAGACAUAUUCCACAAAGGAUUCAUUUUUGCUACUGUCGUCUGAAUUUUAAUGUUUUUCAAUUUAUCAAUUUUAGCGCAACAUAUGUAAAAUGGCAAUAAAUGGAUAUUCUGACUUCCAAAUGUUUAACUUUUCACACUUUACUGCAAUGGAUGGAUGCCAAGGAGAGAUAAGCAAUAAGCAUAGAAAGAGUUGGUAGCUUGCUGGGAUUACCAGUGCGGGAGUCGUGGUUUCGAUUCUCACCAAAAGCCUGUUCUGAUUAGAAAAAAAUAGAACUGCCCCUCUAAUCUCACCUAACCUUACAUCUAAUGGCGUUUAUUUGCCUGUGCUGAUGUUCUGUACUAUAGCCUUCCAGUUCCAUGGCCAGUCGAGUCGCAGCAGGAUGUCGACAUAUCAACAGAAGAAAUCAAAUCAACAGAAAAUACAUAUCAACUAAGCCGUCAUAACGACCUUUUAAGUUUCUUCUUCAUGGGCUUCUUAUUAACUUUUGUGGUGCGUUGUCAUCAAAUCAAAAGCAAACGUCACCGAUGGGCCAUCCAUCUUUCCAUCCAUUCUCAUCAAAGAUCAACAACCAUAUAGCCAUUAGCGUCAACGCCUACACCAUCCUUCCAUUUCAAUGCUCUGGUGAUGAACACAAAAUCAACAGCACAAAGCAGCAACUUGUGAAGAGGCAACCGUGAUGGCGGCGGCGGCGGCGACGGUGGCUAUGAGGAGUGCCGAUUGGUUUCCACAAACAGGAUACUUUCUUUCUGCUUUCUGGGGCAGCGGUAACACCAAUACAUUUCAGUAUACCAUCAACAUAAAGGACAUGCCUCGGAAGGGAGAGGACAAAAGGACGUUUAUGAAAAUUUUUGGGAAAAAUGAGAAAUAAUUGUCACUGUGAUAAUUGUGCGGUAUGCUUGGGUUUCUUGUAUGAUGAUUUUGUAUUUUUUCCAAUUUUCUUUUAAUUUUUGGGUAAGUUAUGGGGGUGCCAUGGACACAUUUCGAUGAUGCAGGUUGUCAUAUAAUUUUCCAUCAUCAGGGUCUUUGGUUGGUAGACUGUGCCACUGUUGCUACUGGCAGCUUCAUUUGUUGGGCAAUUUUCGAAAGCCUUUGUUUCAUAUUUUGCAGAUGACUUUCUGUCUAUGCUCCAUGGGCGAUGACGAUGACGAAGUGGCAUAUUUGCGAUGAUAAAUUGAAAACAUAUGCCUUUUGCACAAAUGAUAAAAGGGUGAAAGGCUACACCAAGAAAGAGGUGUGAAUUUUAUGCUUGUUUCAAAUUGAAUACAUAUUGGCCAAGAGUUGUACCAAAGUUCAACCCUUAUGUGUGUGCGGCAAAUGUUUGUUCGUUCACCCGUGCCUCCAUCAUGUAGAUAACAUCUGAUAAUCACUCAUUUCCACAACGCAAUCCUGCAGCACAACUCAAUCCAGAGGCGAAAUGUACGGGUCUUUUAUCUUGGGCUAAUGUUGAUAGAGCGCUAGUCUGACAGACGGACGGACAUGCAUACCAUAACAUGACAUCUAUUGUGGAUGGUAGUGUGUGUUGAUACAUGCAUAUGUGAAAAAUACAUAUCCUGAUGAUAACCAUAAACAAAUAAUGCAAGCCUCACAGUGGUUUCCAAGGAAUUUUGAAAACGGAGGCGGAACAAAAUAUUUUUUAAAGUGGUUGUUAUUGCUCAAGGAAAUACAUAGUACUGCGAAAAAAAUUGAGUGAUUACUAUCAUUUUUGGAUACAGAUGAUAAUAAACUUUAAGAGAGGAAGGAUCUUAUUAAAAGAAACGCCUCGCAAAAUGGAAUUUUGAUUCUAUGAAGACGAUUAAAUCUACCAAAACUUAGCAGACAAGGCUUAAUCGAAAUUUUUGUAUUGCCUAAGCCUGGUUGCUGUGUCAAUUUGCAUCAUAGCCCCAAUUUGCAAGAAAGCCAAAUUCUUUUAAACGUCUCAUAUGUGUGUAUGCUCCCAAGGAAAGCUAGGACAAACCCACCAGGGACAUAUUUUGCAAGCGCUUGAAUGCUGAAAUAGCAAUGAGGAAUCUAUGGCUCAAUAAUGGAAAAGUAAAGCCUCUACGGAAAAAGUCCGAUUGCGGAAAAUGGUGGUAGUUCGCUCACCACCAGAUUUCAAUAUCGGGAGCUGUAUCAGACUAUUGGUCGAUUCAGACCA